rnacentral:rRNA from 1 species
AACGAACGCUGGCGGCAGGCUUAACACAUGCAAGUCGAACGCCUAUAGCAAUAUAGGAGUGGCGCACGGGUGAGUAAUACUUGGGAACGUGCCUUAGAGUCUGGGAUAACUACUGGAAACGGUAGCUAAUACCGGAUAUUCCCUCCGGGGGAAAGAUUUAUCGCUCUAAGAUCGGCCCAAGCCAGAUUGGCUAGUUGGUGAGGUAAUGGCUCACCAAGGCUCCGAUCUGUAGCUGUUCUGAGAGGAAGACCAGCCACACUGGAACUGAGACACGGUCCAGACUCCUACGGGAGGCAGCAGUGGGGAAUAUUGGACAAUGGGCGAAAGCCUGAUCCAGCCAUGCCGCGUGAGUGAUGAAGGCCUUAGGGUUGUAAAGCUCUUUUGCCAGGGAAGAUGAUGAUGGUACCUGGAGAAUAAGCACCGGCUAACUUCGUGCCAGCCGCCGCCGUAA